AUUAUUAAAUUCACCCCCGUGAUCUGACAUAAUCAUCUUAGGAAGGCCAAAAAGCGAAAAAUAAUUUUUUAACUUACUAAUUAUCGUUUCUGGUUUUUUAUCAGUUAAAAUAUACGCUUGCGCAAAUUUUGUUAGAUUAUCUAUAACGGUGAGCAUUUUCUGUUUAUCAAAAAAGAACAGGUCUACAGAUAAAGCCUCAAAUGGUUUCUCCGGAGAAUGCCUUACAUUUAAACCUUGAGUACGAUUCCUACGAUCAAAUUUUGAGAGUUGACAAGUAGGGCAUAAA
rnacentral:lncRNA from 1 species